rnacentral:rRNA from 1 species
GACGAACGCUGGCGGCGUGCUUAACACAUGCAAGUCGAACGGAAAGGCCCUGCUUUUGUGGGGUGCUCGAGUGGCGAACGGGUGAGUAACACGUGAGUAACCUGCCCUUGACUUUGGGAUAACUUCAGGAAACUGGGGCUAAUACCGGAUAGGAGCUCCUGCUGCAUGGUGGGGGUUGGAAAGUUUCGGCGGUUGGGGAUGGACUCGCGGCUUAUCAGCUUGUUGGUGGGGUAGUGGCUUACCAAGGCUUUGACGGGUAGCCGGCCUGAGAGGGUGACCGGCCACAUUGGGACUGAGAUACGGCCCAGACUCCUACGGGAGGCAGCAGUGGGGAAUAUUGCACAAUGGGCGGAAGCCGGAUGCAGCAACGCCGCGUGCGGGAUGACGGCCUUCGGGUUGUAAACCGCUUUCGCCUGUGACGAAGUGUGAGUGGCGGUAAUGGGUAAAGAAGCACCGGCUAACUACGU